rnacentral:tRNA from 1 species
GGGGCAUUAGCUCAGCGGAUAGAGCAGUGGGUUCCGGACCCAUGUGUCGGGAGUUCGAGUCUUCUAUGCCUCGCCA